rnacentral:rRNA from 1 species
AUUGAACGCUGGCGGCAUGCCUUACACAUGCAAGUCGGACGGCAGCACGGGAGCAAUCCUGGUGGCGAGUGGCGAACGGGUGAGUAAUAUAUCGGAACGUGCCCAGUCGUGGGGGAUAACGCAGCGAAAGCUGUGCUAAUACCGCAUACGAUCUAAGGAUGAAAGCGGGGGAUCGCAAGACCUCGCGCGAUUGGAGCGGCCGAUAUCAGAUUAGCUAGUUGGUGGGGUAAAGGCCCACCAAGGCGACGAUCUGUAGCUGGUCUGAGAGGACGACCAGCCACACUGGAACUGAGACACGGUCCAGACUCCUACGGGAGGCAGCAGUGGGGAAUUUUGGACAAUGGGCGCAAGCCUGAUCCAGCAAUGCCGCGUGCGGGAUGAAGGCCUUCGGGUUGUAAACUGCUUUUGUACGGAACGAAACGGCCCUUUCUAAUACAGGGGGCUAAUGACGGUACCGUAAGAAUAAGCACCGGCUAACUACGUGCCAGCAGCCGCAGUAA